rnacentral:rRNA from 1 species
UACGUAGGGUGCAAGCGUUGUCCGGAAUUAUUGGGCGUAAAGAGCUCGUAGGCGGUCUGUCGCGUCGGAUGUGAAAACCCAGGGCUCAACCCUGGGCCUGCAUUCGAUACGGGCAGACUAGAGUUCGGUAGGGGAGACUGGAAUUCCUGGUGUAGCGGUGAAAUGCGCAGAUAUCAGGAAGAACACCCGUGGCUAAGGCGGCUCUCUAGUACGGUACUGACGCUGAGACGCGAAAGCGUGGGGAGCGAACAGG